AGGCAUCUAAAUAACAAACAAAAGGUUUUAAUUAAUACCUGUAAAAUUGUAAACGAAUAUUAGCACAGUCAAGAGAGAAGAAUUUCAGAAUUGUACCAGUGAAUAUUUAGAUGCGUUAAUAAUUGUACAGACGUUUCAAACUCAAAGUAAUAUUGGAUAAAUGAGGUGAUAUGGCUGUUAUUAUUUUAAUAAAUUAAGGUCUCCCCAUCUAGAUUGGAUUUGCGAUAUAGCCGAAGGUCACUUGGGUUUCAUGUGCCCUAGGGAAAUGAUGCGGUCGGGCGUGUGAUUUUGUCGUAGCCACUAGCUACACAAAGCAGAGCAAUAUGACGAUGAAUAAGAGGAAGUAAUAAGUGGCAUUAUGAUAUCAGGUUAUGAACGGUUCCGAUGAUUUCAUUAGUUCAGAAGGCUGUGUAUAAUAAGAGCGAC